CCUACGGGGUGCAGCAGUGGGGAAUAUUGGGCAAUGGGCGCAAGCCUGACCCAGCAACGCCGCGUGAAGGAAGAAGGCUUUCGGGUUGUAAACUUCUUUUCUGAGGGACGAAGAAAGUGACGGUACCUCAGGAAUAAGCCACGGCUAACUACGUGCCAGCAGCCGUGGCAAUACGUAGGUGGCAAGCGUUAUCCGGAUUUAUUGGGUGUAAAGGGCGUGUAGGCGGGAAAGCAAGUCAGAUGUGAAAACUCAGGGCUCAAACCUGAGCGUGCAUUUGAAACUGGUUUUCUUGAGUGCUGGAGAGGCAAUCGGAAUUCCGGGUGUAGCGGUGAAAUGCGUAGAUAUACGGAAGAACACCAGUGGCGAAGGCAGAUUGCUGGACAGUAACUGACGCUGAGGCGCGAAAGCGUGGGGAGCAAACAGGAUUAGAUACCCCAGUAGUC
rnacentral:rRNA from 1 species